UACAUUUUGAAGCCAUAUUAUAGCGUUUGUCAUAUCGUUUUUGUCUAUCAGAAAAUAGCCAGUUGGAAUCAGAUCUAAUUUAUUUGUAUAGCCCUUUUUACACGCAAGCAUGUCACAGAGGGCUUGAUUUGAUUUGAUCAAUAAGUACAAACAAGAAUAGUCAAUCUUCUUAAAUAAAACAAAGAUUUUAAGGAUGAAAAGUCUCAACUUUAUUUACUUUGUAAACAGUAGAUUAUGUAGAACAGCUUAAACACACAUUCAAGUAAAGUGCAAAAUCUUCUUUGACCAAAUGUUAUAAAAAUAAACCAAAGACAAAAAUGUUGAGAGAGCCAUAACGCUAUUCUGUAUGGAUCAAGCAUUUCCACCAGUUUUGGGAGGCUCUAUAGAGGCACAUGUCUGCAUUUCUUUGCUGCAAAAUUACUAAUUAGGUCAUCAUUUGACAGCUUUUGAGCCACUUCACUAUUGAUGCUGUUGACAGCAAGACCACUAAGACGUUCUUGCCCCAUUGUUGAACUUAAGUAUGUUUUAAUGAGCUUUAGUUUUUAAAAACUUUGCUCAGCAGAGGCAACUGUAACAGGGAGGGUUCAUGCAAUUCGAAGAGCAACCCAGAGAUUUAGAUACACCUCUUGAAGGCAUUUCUCCAGGAGAAAUGUGAGCAACUCCAAGGCAGUUGUCUGUGGUGGCAGUUGUGGAAGGUUGAUGAUUUCCUGAGCCAUUUCAAUUCCAUCAAUAUCAGAACUUCCUUUCUCAGUCAGUGUCUUCUGCACUUCAAUGCAUUUUUUUUGUAAGUCCUCCUUUGACAUUCCGUCCACUCUGCUGAAAUCAAGCAGCACUCCAAAUUUCUCUCUGACGCUACGGCUACACCAAGUACGGAAAUUUUGCCAUGCGGAAAUAGAACGUUGACGGAGCGAAUGUUUUAUUUAGCCGGCUACACUGGACGCGUCAAAGAUUUACAUUCAAGAUGAAUCCAGUAUCUGUUUUUCUGUAUUUGUUUAUUUAUGUUAUAAGCCAAAGUUCAUCUGCACCUGUUCAUCUGGGUCACAGUAAUAACAUGGGGAAUAGGCGGAAGGCACUUGCCUUACUUCUCAUCGUCCAGAGAAUAAAAAAAAGAAACGAACUUGGAUGACUGCAAUCAACCAGCGCAGGCGAGAGCAAGGGGCUUUCUACAACCUGGUGGAGUUGCGUUUUAACUCCGAAUAUCAUCGAGCGUAGUUGAGAAUGACACCAUCGCAGAUGGAUCACAUCCUGUCACUGAUAGGUGCAGAUCUCCAGCGACAGGACACCAAUUACAGACUGGCAGUCGAACCAAAGCAAAGACUUGUGGUUACAUUGAGUGUUUGCCCUGUACCUCCUGGGUUGAAGGUGGGGAGCAAGGAAGGAAAGGGCUUGAGAGUACUUCCACUCCUUUUGCGGUCCU